rnacentral:RNase_P_RNA from 1 species
CGGGGAGGAAGCUUGCUGUAGAGGCCACGUGCUAGGUGUCCUUCACUCUUUCUGCACCUCUGUGGGAAGGUCUGCAGCACGGGCCACAUACCACCCUAGCAGGGUGCCACUUCUUGAAGGCGGGUGAGUUCCCAGUAAUCUGGGUCUCUGGCACAGCCUAAGAUUGGGGCAAGAGAAGCGAUGGAGGGGCUCAUUCCUCUCCACACGGAUACCUCUGUGGCUUGACAGAAAUUUGGGAAUGACUCAACAGUAAGCAACUAUGGGCAGAUGUGAAGCAGAAGCUGUGGCAGCUUCAUAACCCAAUUCAGACUAGUCGCUUCCCAG